AGUGCACCAGGCGAGAGGCUUCCACAAUGGGGGAAACCCUGAUGGAGCGACGCCGCGUGGGUGAUGAAGGUCUUCGGAUCGUAAAGCCCUUUCAGCAAGGAAGAAUGGACGGGUGCUAAUACCAUCAUGUCCAAGACGGUACUUGCAGAAUAAGCUCCGGCUAACUCCGUGCCAGCAGCCGCGGUAAGACGGAGGGAGCAAGCGUUGUUCGGAUUUACUGGGCGUAAAGGGCGUCUAGGCGGAUUGGUCAGUCAGGUGUGAAACCCCCGGCUCAACCGGGGAUCUGCACUUGAUACUGCCGAUCUUGAGUAUGGAAGAGGAAAGCGGAAUUCCAGGUGUAGCGGUGAAAUGCGUAGAUAUCUGGAAGAACACCGGUGGCGAAGGCGGCUUUCUGGUCCAAUACUGACGCUAAAGCGCGAAAGUGUGGGGAGCAAACAGGAUUAGAUACCCCUGUAC
rnacentral:rRNA from 1 species